UGGUACUUGGAGGGAGGUUGUCCGUGGUGAGUUCGCAUUUUUUACUGAUGCCCAAUACACGGUCGAUCUCUUUUCAGUAUCA
rnacentral:pre_miRNA from 1 species